rnacentral:rRNA from 1 species
GUGGGGAAUAUUGGACAAUGGGCGAAAGCCUGAUCCAGCCAUGCCGCGUGUGUGAAGAAGGUCUUCGGAUUGUAAAGCACUUUAAGUUGGGAGGAAGGGCAGUAAGUUAAUACCUUGCUGUUUUGACGUUACCGACAGAAUAAGCACCGGCUAACUUCGUGCCAGCAGCCGCGGUAAUACGAAGGGUGCAAGCGUUAAUCGGAAUUACUGGGCGUAAAGCGCGCGUAGGUGGUUCAGCAAGUUGAAGGUGAAAUCCCCGGGCUCAACCUGGGAACUGCCUCCAAAACUGCAUGACUAGAGUACGGUAGAGGGUAGUGGAAUUUCCUGUGUAGCGGUGAAAUGCGUAGAUAUAGGAAGGAACACCAGUGGCGAAGGCGACUACCUGGACUGAUACUGACACUGAGGUGCGAAAGCGUGGGGAGCAAACAGGAUUAGAUACCCCUGUAGUCC